GUUGGAUAAAGAAUUGGUGGAGAUUUUAAUGAGUUUGGAUAAGGAUGACAAUGAAACACUGCUGCAUGAAUGUUCUCAUAUUGCGGGCUCACAAAGUAGUGAUGAUGAACAUGAUGAAGAUAUUGAUGAAGAUGAAGAAUCAAUAUUAAUGUCACAGCCAUUUUGGAAAGAUGAUGUAGAGGAACAUGAUUCCCAAAGGCUUAUGCAAACAUCGGAGACGUUAGUGAGAUCUUUUGAGCCUUUGACUUGCCUCAG